rnacentral:rRNA from 1 species
AACGUAGGAGGCGAGCGUUAUCCGGAUUUACUGGGCGUAAAGCGCGUGCAGGCGGCACGGCAAGUUGGAUGUGAAAGCUCCCGGCUUAACUGGGAGAGGUCGUUCAAAACUGCCGAGCUAGAGUGCGGGAGAGGGAGGUGGAAUUCCGGGUGUAGUGGUGAAAUGCGUAGAUAUCCGGAGGAACACCAGUGGCGAAAGCGGCCUCCUGGUCCGCAACUGACGCUCAGACGCGAAAGCUAGGGUAGCAAACGGGAUUAGAGACCCCGGUAGUCCUAGCUGUAAACGAUGUAGACUUGGCGUUGGUGGGUUCAAAUCCAUCAGUGCCGGAGCAAACGCGUUAAGUCUACCGCCUGGGGACUACGGCCGCAAGGUUAAA